ACCUCAUGGUUUGGACAUUGCGUUAGUUUUCCAUUGAAUCUUUCCCAUACUUCAUACAAAGUCUCUCCAUUCAAUUGCCUAAUAUUGAGGAUAUCAUUCCUCAAUU
rfam:Capsicum annuum cultivar Zunla-1 chromosome 5, whole genome shotgun sequence